GACUCCGGAGAAGGGGCCUGAGAAAUGGCCACUACGUCUAAGGAUGGCAGCAGGCGCGCAAAUUACCCACUCUCAGAACAUUGAGGAGGUAGUGACGAAAAAUAACGAGACCGUUCUCUACGAGGCCGGUCAUCGGAAUGGGUACAAUCUAAACCCUUUAACGAGUAUCUAUGAGAGGGCAAGUCUGGUGCCAGCAGCCGCGGUAAUUCCAGCUCUCAAAAUGCAUAGAAUUAUUGCUGCGGUUAAAAAGCUCGUAGUUGGAUCUGUGCUGGGGCGUCGGUCCACCUUCGGGUUCGCACUGGUCGCCCCCGGCUUCGCUGUCGGUUUUCCCGUCGUCGCCUUCACCGGCGGCGGCGGGUGGCUGGCGAUUUUACUUUGAACAAAUCAGAGUGCUUAACACAGGCGUUUCGCUUGAAUGUUCGUGCAUGGAAUAAUAGAAGAGGAUUUCGGUUCUAUUUUAUUGGUUUUAUAGACUGAGAUAAUGGUUAACAGAGACAAACGGGGGCAUUCGUAUCGCUGCGUGAGAGGUGAAAUUCUUGGACCGCAGCGAGACGAACUACAGCGAAAGCAUUUGCCAAGAAUGUCUUCAUUAAUCAAGAACGAAAGUCAGAGGUUCGAAGGCGAUCAGAUACCGCCCUAGUUCUGACCGUAAACGAUGCCAACUAGCGAUCCGCCGGCGGAUAUUUCGCCCUGGUGGGGAGCUUCCCGGAAACGAAAGUCUUCCGGUUCCGGGGGAAGUAUGGUUGCAAAGCUGAAACUUAAAGGAAUUGACGGAAGGGCACCACCAGGAGUGGAGCCUGCGGCUUAAUUUGACCCAACACGGGGAAACUCACCCGGCCCGGACACCGUGAGGAUUGACAGAUUGAUAGCUUUUUCAUGAUUCGGUGGAUGGUGGUGCAUGGCCGUUCUUAGUUCGUGGAGCGAUUUGUCUGGUUUAUUCCGAUAACGAGCGAGACUCUAGCCUACUAACUAGUCCACCCAUUGCUUCUGUGCGGUGGCACUUCUUAGAGGGAUUUUCGGUGUUCAGCCGCACGAGAUUGAGCAAUAACAGGUCUGUGAUGCCCUUAGAUGUCCGGGGCUGCACGCGCGCUACACUGGCGAAAUCAGCGUGCCUGUCCUCUCUCGAAAGAGAUUGGUAAACCAUUGAAAAUUUGCCGUGAUUGGGAUCGGAAAUUGCAAUUAUUUUCCGUGAACGAGGAAUUCCAAGUAAGUGCGAGUCAUCAACUCGCGUUGAUUACGUCCCUGCCCCUUGUACACACCGCCCGUCGCUGCCCGGGACUGAGCCAUUUCGAGAAAUUUGGGGAUUGCCGGCUGGCGGUUGCGCUUCGGUGUGACUGCCUUUCGGUGAGAACCAAUUUAAUCGCAGUGGCUUGAACCGGGCAAAAGUCGUAACAAGGUG
rnacentral:rRNA from 1 species